rnacentral:rRNA from 1 species
CCUACGGGAGGCAGCAGUAGGGAAUCUUCCGCAAUGGACGAAAGUCUGACGGAGCAACGCCGCGUGAGUGAUGAAGGCUUUUGGGUCGUAAAACUCUGUUGUUAGGGAAGAACAAGUGCUAGUUGAAUAAGCUGGCACCUUGACGGUACCUAACCAGAAAGCCACGGCUAACUACGUGCCAGCAGCCGCGGUAAUACGUAGGUGGCAAGCGUUAUCCGGAAUUAUUGGGCGUAAAGCGCGCGCAGGUGGUUUCUUAAGUCUGAUGUGAAAGCCCACGGCUCAACCGUGGAGGGUCAUUGGAAACUGGGAGACUUGAGUGCAGAAGAGGAAAGUGGAAUUCCAUGUGUAGCGGUGAAAUGCGUAGAGAUAUGGAGGAACACCAGUGGCGAAGGCGACUUUCUGGUCUGUAACUGACACUGAGGCGCGAAAGCGUGGGGAGCAAACAGGAUUAGAUACCCUGGUAGUCCACGCCGUAAACGAUGAGUGCUAAGUGUUAGAGGGUUUCCGCCCUUUAGUGCUGAAGUUAACGCAUUAAGCACUCCGCCUGGGGAGUACGGCCGCAAGGCUGAAACUCAAAGGAAUUGACGGA